rnacentral:rRNA from 1 species
AUGGAGGCGGAGGAGCUGCUGAGGAAGAUACGGGAGCUGGAGGAGGGCCAGGCCGAGCUCCUGCGGGAGAUGGGCAGGCUCGCGCCGGAGCGCCGCGGCAGUGGCGGCGCGCAGCGGGCGGCGGACCGCCGCCGCCGCCCGCCUUCCCCCGCGUUGCCGCCGCGGCACCCCUCCUUGUCGCGCGCGCUCCCGGACUCGUCGCCGCGGCCGCUCCGCGACAACCGAGCCAGGCUCUCCGACAGGCACUGCCACUGGAUACUGCAGUCGCUGGGCCAGGCCGUGCACAUCAUCGCGCCCGACGGCAAGCUCCUCUACUGGAACCGGUAUGCUGAGCAUAUGUAUGGCUAUUCUGCAUCAGAAGCAAUUGGCCAAGAUGCUGUCGAAUUAAUUGUUCAUCCUACUGACUUUGAUGCAGCAAACAUCAUUAUCCAGAAUAUAUUCAUGGGGAAGUGUUUUAGGGGAAAGUUCCCCGUUAAAAACAAGUCAGGGGAGAGGUUCUUUAUUGUUGUCCAUAACACUCCUUUAUAUGAUGACGAUGGUAGCUUGAUUGGCCUCAUAUGUCUCUCGCUUGAUGUACGAACAUUGGAGGAGAUAUUUUGUCCUUCCGUCACAGAGAAUUCCUAUCAAAAUUCAGCAAAGCCCCAUUUUCAUGUUAACAGCCGGAUUGAAAGUGGUUCACAAAACAAAGGUUCUUUUGACUCCCAGCGACCUCUUCAAUCUGCUAUCACCUCCAAGAUAACAACUUUUGCCACCAAGCUUACAAGUAGAGUCCCUUCUCGGACAAGGACAGGUCAGAAUUGGGAGAGACAGUGUGCUAGUGGCUCUGAGGAUCAAUAUUCUGAACAUGAUGUUAGGGCGGACCUGACAUCAAGUGAGGCAAGCACCCCAAAUGAGGAUGUACAGUCUGGUGUCUUUGCUGCUGUAGAGAAAUCCCCUGGGCAGUUGAGCAAAACAAGUACUGAUGAUUCAGGAGAAGGAAAAGUAGGGUUUCACAAAAUGUUCAGUUCAGAGCCCGAGGAAUUGCUGGCCAAGAAGGGGAUAUCUUGGCCUCGGAAAGGGCGUGAAAAUGAUGGGGGUUCUGGAAGGAGUAACAUAACCUCAACACAUUUGCAUGAUAAGCAAGAGAAUGACCAGAGUCAUCAGAGAGUUCCAGUUCUAGAGCCCAUCAUAAUUCCAGACUGCCAAGACAGUGAAUACGCCCAGUCAGGUUUCUGGUGGACUUUUAACAACACCAGUAGUAUGAGCAGCACAAGUACUAGUGGCAGUCCUAUCGAGAGAGUGGAUUAUGAAGUAGACUGCUUACAUUAUGAGAUUCUGUGGGAAGAUCUAGUAAUUGGAGAACAAGUAGGUCAAGGUUCUUGCGGAACAGUGUAUCAUGCUUUGUGGUAUGGCUCGGAUGUGGCAGUUAAAUUGUUCUCCAGGCAGGAAUAUUCAGAAGAAAUGAUAAAUACCUUCAGACAAGAGGUAUCAUUGAUGAAGAAACUACGACAUCCCAGUAUAAUACUUUUCAUGGGCGCAGUUGCAUCACACGAACGACUUUGUAUUGUAACAGAAUUCCUCCCACGAGGGAGUUUGUUUCAGUUGCUUCGAAAGAACACUAGCAAGCUGGAUCCAAGACGGAAACUUAACAUGGCCAUAGACAUCGCAAGAGGCAUGAAUUAUCUUCACAAUUCCAUCCCCGCUAUUGUGCACCGUGAUUUAAAAUCAUCAAACCUGUUGAUAAAAAUUGGACUGUAA